rnacentral:rRNA from 1 species
GAUGAACGCUGGCGGCGUGCCUAAUACAUGCAAGUCGAGCGAACGGACGAGAAGCUUGCUUCUCUGAUGUUAGCGGCGGACGGGUGAGUAACACGUGGAUAACCUACCUAUAAGACUGGGAUAACUUCGGGAAACCGGAGCUAAUACCGGAUAAUAUUUUGAACCGCAUGGUUCAAAAGUGAAAGACGGUCUUGCUGUCACUUAUAGAUGGAUCCGCGCUGCAUUAGCUAGUUGGUAAGGUAACGGCUUACCAAGGCAACGAUGCAUAGCCGACCUGAGAGGGUGAUCGGCCACACUGGAACUGAGACACGGUCCAGACUCCUACGGGAGGCAGCAGUAGGGAAUCUUCCGCAAUGGGCGAAAGCCUGACGGAGCAACGCCGCGUGAGUGAUGAAGGUCUUCGGAUCGUAAAACUCUGUUAUUAGGGAAGAACAUAUGUGUAAGUAACUGUGCACAUCUUGACGGUACCUAAUCAGAAAGCCACGGCUAACUACGUGCCAGCAGCCGCGGUAAUACGUAGGUGGCAAGCGUUAUCCGGAAUUAUUGGGCGUAAAGCGCGCGUAGGCGGUUUUUUAAGUCUGAUGUGAAAGCCCACGGCUCANCCGUGGAGGGUCAUUGGAAACUGGAAAACUUGAGUGCAGAAGAGGAAAGUGGAAUUCCAUGUGUAGCGGUGAAAUGCGCAGAGAUAUGGAGGAACACCAGUGGCGAAGGCGACUUUCUGGUCUGUAACUGACGCUGAUGUGCGAAAGCGUGGGGAUCAAACAGGAUUAGAUACCCUGGUAGUCCACGCCGUAAACGAUGAGUGCUAAGUGUUAGGGGGUUUCCGCCCCUUAGUGCUGCAGCUAACGCAUUAAGCACUCCGCCUGGGGAGUACGACCGCAAGGUUGAAACUCAAAGGAAUUGACGGGGACCCGCACAAGCGGUGGAGCAUGUGGUUUAAUUCGAAGCAACGCGAAGAACCUUACCAAAUCUUGACAUCCUUUGACAACUCUAGAGAUAGAGCCUUCCCCUUCGGGGGACAAAGUGACAGGUGGUGCAUGGUUGUCGUCAGCUCGUGUCGUGAGAUGUUGGGUUAAGUCCCGCAACGAGCGCAACCCUUAAGCUUAGUUGCCAUCAUUAAGUUGGGCACUCUAAGUUGACUGCCGGUGACAAACCGGAGGAAGGUGGGGAUGACGUCAAAUCAUCAUGCCCCUUAUGAUUUGGGCUACACACGUGCUACAAUGGACAAUACAUAGGGCAGCGAAACCGCGAGGUCAAGCAAAUCCCAUAAAGUUGUUCUCAGUUCGGAUUGUAGUCUGCAACUCGACUACAUGAAGCUGGAAUCGCUAGUAAUCGUAGAUCAGCAUGCUACGGUGAAUACGUUCCCGGGUCU